rnacentral:rRNA from 1 species
GACGAACGCUGGCGGCGUGCUUAACACAUGCAAGUCGAACGGAAAGGCCCUGCUUUUGUGGGGUGCUCGAGUGGCGAACGGGUGAGUAACACGUGAGUAACCUGCCCUUGACUUUGGGAUAACUUCAGGAAACUGGGGCUAAUACCGGAUAGGAGCUCCUGCUGCAUGGUGGGGGUUGGAAAGUUUCGGCGGUUGGGGAUGGACUCGCGGCUUAUCAGCUUGUUGGUGGGGUAGUGGCUACCAAGGCUUUGCAGGGUAGCCGGCCUGAGAGGGUGACCGGCCACAUUGGGGCUGAGAUACGGCCCAGACUCCUACGGGAGGCAGCAGUGGGGAAUAUUGCACAAGGGGCGGAAGCCUGAUGCAGCAACGCCGCGUGCGGGAUGACGGCCUUCGGGUUGUAAACCGCUUUCGCCUGUGACGAAGCGUGAGUGACGGUAAUGGGUAAAGAAGCACCGGCUAACUACGUG